GUUUCCCCUGAUUGGAGCUGACUGGGCAGGGGCUAAUUAGGUGCUUAUACACCAGUACCCUGCUACAUCAAUGUUUUGCAACAUUUACCUUUUUCAUUCCAGAGCUGAUGCAGGGAGUUCUUUUACAGUUCUUGUAUCCCAAUUUCCCAAGAGCGUUCCUGGGAUCCACACGUAUUGGCUGAGUCCUGAUCUUUUUUGGUUGAGAAGCAUUUCACUUGUGUUCCUAAAUGAUUACAACCUGAUGCUUCCUUUUCUGGCUUCCAUGCCAUCCCUGCAGGAUAUGUCAAGGGACAGAGCCUGACAGACAGUAUCCUACAUGGGAAAUAUGGGGAAGGUGAGGCACGAAGAGGUGAAGUGACUGGCCCAUUGUCAUUCAGCAGGUUAGUAGAAGAGCAACAACUGGAACCUACAUCUCUGACUCCCAGUCCAGCUCUCUAGCUACUAGGCCACAUCUCCUCCUAUGAGGCAGAUAAAGAUUGCAAGGGGCAGCACUGUGCCAAUAAGUGGAUGAACUUCGCUCAUACUUGCUUUAAAGCAUCAUAAGGUUCAAGAUCUACAAAUAGACUGUCUCGUAGCCUUUGCUGACCAAACAGUGCACUACUAGUGAAUUACUAAUUUAUGUGCACAACUAUUUUAAUAAUUUGAUUAGUCAGGACAUUCAUUUAAAUUAUGACCUCUUUUCGGCAAGGACCAUCUUUCUGUGCUGUGUUUGUAUAGUGCCAAAUAGAUCAGGAUCCCAUUCUAUGGUGAGUCUCAUCGGAUACAUCAUAUGCAAAUAAUAAUCAAUCAACAAUUCUAUGUAUAAAACAUGGUAUAUGGAUACAGCCACCACCCUUUACUCCAACAUUUGUCUAUUAAAAUGCUAGCCAAUUGGGCAUCACAAAGCUAAAUGAAAUUCUUUGUGGAUGGGUGCAAGGUAAUACAUAUUUGGAGGAACAAUGUCAGCUACUUAUACACAAUGAUAAGUCCUGCAGCCACUCAGGAAAAAGACCCAGUCAUCACUGUGGACAGCUUCAACUAAAAUCAAUUCAAUGUGCAGCAGUAGUCAAAAAUGUGUUAAGAUUAUUUGUGAAA